rnacentral:piRNA from 1 species
CCCUGGAUCCCUGUUAGGAUGUUGUCCUG